UCCCAGUCCAAGUCCAAAGUCAAAAGUUCAUCAAAGAAGUACCUCCUUUUCAUGAAUUUCCUCCCCUUUCAAUACCUCUCCACAUCCUUUCUCUAACCCAUACCACCUCCAGCUCCCAGCCCUGAGCUCCUGAGAGAAAUGUCUCUAACCAGAGCUGCCACAGAUCCUUGGAGACCCAGCCCCACAGCAGAGGCAAAGGAACAAUCCAAGUCCAAAG